rnacentral:rRNA from 1 species
GAUGAACGCUGGCGGCAUGCCUAAUACAUGCAAGUCGAACGGACGGAAAGGAAGCUUGCUUUCUGGAAGUCAGUGGCGAACGGGUGAGUAACACGUAGGUAACCUGGCCAUCACAGGGGGAUAACUACUGGAAACGGUAGCUAAAACCGCAUAGGUAAGGAAGAGGCAUCUCUUGCUUAUUAAAGGGGCUACGGCCUUGGUGAUGGAUGGACCUGCGGCGCAUUAGCUAGUUGGUGAGGUAGAGGCUCACCAAGGCGAUGAUGCGUAGCCGACCUGAGAGGGUGAACGGCCACAUUGGGACUGAGACACGGCCCAA